GCCUACGGCCAUACCACCCUGAACACGCCCGAUCUCGUCUGAUCUCGGAAGCUAAGCAGGGUCGGGCCUGGUUAGUACUUGGAUGGGAGACCGCCUGGGACUACUGGGUGCUGUAGGCU
ensembl:rRNA 5S_rRNA 5S ribosomal RNA